rnacentral:lncRNA from 1 species
AAACAAUCUAGAAAAUUCCCUUUUUUUUUUUAUCUCCAGCGCUGCACCUCUACUCCUCACCCUCACCAGCGCCUCAACUCCACUCCACCGACACAGCCACCGCGCCUCCUCCUCCCUUCUUCUUCUUCUUCUUUCUUUCUUUCUUUCUUUUCUUUUCUUUCUUCUUCCCUGCGUCUGUCUGCGUGUGACUGGCGAGAGACAGCAGAUCUGUCGCGCGCCACCCAGCCCUCGCGGGCCACCUCGCCGCCACUCCACGCCGCCAGUCGCACCGCCUCACCGCUCCUCCGCGCGCCACAGCCAGCAGCUCCGCCUGCAGCAGCGCUUCAUCCUCGGCCAGAUCGAGCGGUCUCAGGUGGCCUAGCUACUCCAGCACGCCUCCCGUAUAAAUUAAUUUAAAUACAUUUUAGUUAAUUAAUUUAAUUUUAUUAA